CACGUAGGGGGCGAGCGUUGUCCGGAUUUAUUGGGCGUAAAGAGCUCGUAGGCGGCUCGGUAAGUCGGGUGUGAAACCUCCAGGCUCAACCUGGAGACGCCAUCCGAUACUGCCGUGGCUAGAGUCCGGUAGGGGAGCGUGGAAUUCCCAGUGUAGCGGUGAAAUGCGCAGAUAUUGGGAGGAACACCAGCGGCGAAGGCGGCGCUCUGGGCCGGAACUGACGCUGAGGAGCGAAAGCGUGGGGAGCGAACAGGAUUAGAAACCCCCGUAGUCC
rnacentral:rRNA from 1 species